rnacentral:lncRNA from 1 species
AUAGGGUUUAGGGUUUAGAGUUGAUGUUUUAGGGUUUAGAUUUGAAGGUUUAGGGUUUAGGGUUUAGAGUUGAUGUUUUAGGGUUUAGAGUUGAUGUUUCAUGGUUUAGGGUUUAGAGUUGAUGAUUUAGGGUUUAAAGUUGAUGUUUUAAGUUUAAAUUUAGGGUUUAAGGUUUACGUUUAGGGUUUAGAGUUGAUGUUUUAGGGUUUAGAUUUGAAGGUUCAGGGUUUAGGAUUUAGAGUUGAUGUUUCAGGGUUUAAGGUUUAGAGUUGAUGUUUCAUGGUUUAGGGUUUAGAGUUGAUGUUUUAAGUUUAGAUUAGUUAACCAUAUGUUUUUUUUUGCCAAAGUUAAUCAAAAGGUUAUAAAUGUCUUUUACCCUUCAUUAAAGAUGAGGGUAAAAAUGGUUAGUGUAAACAUGAAAAGUGGUACUUUGAAAAAUGUAUUUUUGACAAUUUUCCAAUAUUAAAUUAUAUCUAUUUAAUUUAUACUAUCUAUAAAUCCAAUGGAUCAUCUAUUGUUUAAAUCCAAUUAUUGAUACUCGAAUAAAAAUUUCUGGUAGGUCCAAAAUUUAAAU